UACGUAGGGUGCAAGCGUUGUCCGGAAUCAUUGGGCGUAAAGAGCGUGUAGGCGGCCCGGUAAGUCCGCUGUAAAAGUCAAAGGCUCAACCUUUGAAUGUCAGUGGAUACUGCCGGGCUAGAGUCCGGAAGAGGCGAGUGGAACUCCUGGUGUAGCGGUGGAAUGCGCAGAUAUCAGGAAGAACACCAACGGCGAAGGCAGCACUCUGGGACGUGACUGACGCUGAGACGCGAAAGCGUGGGGAGCAAACAGG
rnacentral:rRNA from 1 species